GACAGGGAAAAGGGACUCAGUGAGAAGGGAGAAAAGGUGCUCAGUACCCAGGCCUCCAGUAUUUAUAGGGUCAGACAUCACUAAAGCAAGGAGGCCCCCCCACUCUGAUGUCAGCAAACUUCGAGACCUCCUAGGUUAAGACUGGAAAACCACCAGGGCUCUCACCACCACACGGCAGGGAAGGAUCGACCCAGUUCCAGCUCCUCACUUUUCUGUCUCUGCCUCCUGGUGCAUGGGAAGAACAGCUGGCCUUGGCUGGUCCUUCCCCAUACUGGUUCUACCUUGGAGUCAGCUGACCAUGGACUGACCCCACUAAACACAUCAUGGGGUCUCUUUCCUAAGUACACCUGGCUUCAGCUGGUUUUUCAAGUGGAUCUAUUUCCCUGGGAAGCCACCAAGGGCUCCAAGGACACCUGGAAGUGUGCAGCUUGGCAGCUGGGCCCCUUCCCUGCUGAUCCUGUGCAUGUCUGGGUCCUCGGUGUGCACAGCUCUGUUCCCCAACACUGACUGCAGCAGGAACUGCUUUCUGAGAGCGACUACCAGGCCCUAGCGAAGGCACAGGCAAAAGGCAGUAACUGUGGUUCAUUCCUGUUAAUUCCUGUCUUCCUGUCUCGCACCUAUGGGAAAGAGGCUCAGAAAGGGUAAAUAACUUUUUUUGGUACAGGGGACCGAACUCAGGAUCACGUACUUGCGAAGCAGGCACUCAAGCCACUGAGCUAAAUCCCCAGCCCGAGGGUAAAUAACUUGUCCCAGGUCACACAGUGGGGAAGCAAGUGGGAGUCUGGGAAAACCUGCUGUCCUGGGUGUGCCUGGCCUGGGUAGGAGUGUGGACUGUGGUAACAGCCACCCUGGACUGCCCAGAGCGGGAGGGCAGAGGGUGACUUUCCAAAGCACCUUAGGCAGGCAUGGGUUCAUGGGUCCCAGUUCUCCCUGAUGGGUGCUAUUUCCCAUGGUCUUAGUUACUGUUUCUUGGUGCUGGGGCAAAAUACCCAACACCCAAAGUUAGAGGAGGAAAGGUUUAUUUAGCUCACAGUUUGUGGAAGUUUCAGCCCAACGGCUCCAAGGCAGAGCAAGUGACAAGAUGAGCCAUGACACAGCUCUCUCUGUCCUUUAUGUGUUAUGCAGGCUACCUGUCCUCACCCCUUAACCACAGCAUAGCACCAUGAAUCAAUCCCAGCAUUACAUCCCUGAUCCCAGCAUCACUCGCUUUAAAUCCAGCUGCUUCCGCUUUUGGGAGAUAUCUAGAUACAAGCCAUAGCAACCAGCAUUUUAUUCUCUUCAGUUCAGAUAACUUAUUUUUUGCUCUGUUAGAAUUUUUCAGAGGAGGGGGGGUUGACAGGAGGGUAGGGGAAUAGGGAAAUAAAUCAAGUUAUGUCAUGUAUAGGUACAAAUUCUCCACGAUGAAUGUGAUUACUAUUUAUAUUUAAAACAUACCAAUAAAAUCUAAUUUUAAAAAAAUGAAUUUUCCAGUCAGGUCAUGGUGGCACAUGCCUGUAAUCCCAGCACUCUGGGAGGCUGGUACAGGAGAAUCAUACAUAGCAAGGUUGAGACCGGCUUGGGCUACAAUGUGAGCUGAAGAUCAGCCUGAACUGCGUAAUGAGAUCCUGUCUGAAAAAGACAAAAAUUUUUUUCUAUCAGGUUAAAAAUACAAAUUUUUCAUGCUAAUCACAUUAAAUGUGCAACUCAAAGGCAUUAACUACAUUAACUACAUUAACUACAUUAACUACAUUCACAUUGUGUGUACAUUAACACCACUAUUUUCAAACUUUUCUAUCAGCCCCAAAAGAGACUGUACCCAGUUAGUCAAUAAGUCUCCACUGCCACACCUCAGCUACUAGUAAACUCUUUUUUCCUGGAUUUCACUGUCCUAGAUACUUCAUACGAGUGGAAUUGUGCCCUGUCAGUCUUUUGCAUCUGGCUUACUUCAUUUAGCAUGUUUUCAACGCUAAUUCAUGUAGUAGCAUAUCAGUAGUUUAGCAUCAUGACAGAGUAAUACAUCUGUCAUGUACAUGUCUGUACAUGUUGUAUGUGUACAACAUUUGGACAACAUUUGGCCAGUCCAUUCCUCUGCUGAUGGACACAUAGGUUGUUUUUACUUCUGGACAGUGUGGUCAAUGUUGCCAUGAACAGCAGCAUAGAAGGAUAUUUUUUGCCAGUACUGCAUAUCAAAACCAGACCCCUACUUGAUAGACAAGUUCGGUAUCAAUGAAUUAUACAUCUAGUCUACACGUACUUUUUGGAACCCCCAAGGAUUAUUCUUACUAUGCCUCUAGGGAUUGGACCCAGGACUUUGCACAUGCUAGGUGAGUGCUCUACCACCAAGCUACACCAUCAGCCUCUUCAAGAUUUUACUUUGAGACAGGGUCUUGCUAAGUUGCCUAAGCUGGCCUUGAAUUUACAAUCCUCCUGCCUCAGCUUCCCAAGUAGUUGAAAUUACAAGUGUGGGUCAUCCUUUCUAUUAUCUCAAUUUGAAGCCCUGUAUUACUCUCACCAUCUUGUUUUUGACUGAGGUUCCUCUAUUCUGUUUUGCUGGAUAGUAUCAGGUUCGAAAGUUUAGGCAUCAGCUGAGAAGAUAAUGAGAUUCAUUAUAACGCCCAUUCUCGUUGACUUUUAUCUACUUUUGAAGACCUACAAUGUCUCCAAUGUUUUGGUUUUGUCGGUUUUGUUCUUUACUGUUUUGUUCAAUUGUAUUACAACUAAUGAUAUAGGCAAUUCUAUUAGAAAUAGCGGGAGGCAUUAUGGUAACCAUUGUUGAUCACCUUGUAUUAUGUUUUUAUAUUAUCUAUUAUGUCCACCCUUUUGACUUGACCGAUUCUGUUCUGUUAUGUCACAUUUGGUUUUACUCUCUUCCAAAAAAGCAAUAAGAACCGUGGGAGCAAUGAAACCCAAAAUGUGUAAUAGUCUUUGUACAAAAGAGAGGAAAAGAAAGUGCUCUAAACUAUAUAACUGCAUGUAUAUUUAAGUGUAUAAGAUAGAAAAUGAUAUCACAGAGUUUUAUUGGAUCAUUGAACAGAACUGUUUGCAGUAUCAUUGUUGGAAUGUCCACUCUACAAGCUUUAAUUUUGUGACUUGAACAAUUAUUUCUAAGAUGGCCAUAUGUAAUCCAUUAACUAGUGAUUUCCUACUGCGCAUUUUUUUCUUCUGUAAAUCUGUAUAACUUGUACCCCUUCACUGUUUUUUUUUCU